rnacentral:rRNA from 1 species
AACGAACGCUGGCGGCAGGCUUAACACAUGCAAGUCGAGCGAGACCUUCGGGUCUAGCGGCGGACGGGUGAGUAACGCGUGGGAACGUGCCCUUCUCUACGGAAUAGCCCCGGGAAACUGGGAGUAAUACCGUAUACGCCCUUUGGGGGAAAGAUUUAUCGGAGAAGGAUCGGCCCGCGUUGGAUUAGGUAGUUGGUGGGGUAAUGGCCCACCAAGCCGACGAUCCAUAGCUGGUUUGAGAGGAUGAUCAGCCACACUGGGACUGAGACACGGCCCAGACUCCGACGGGAGGCAGCAGUGGGGAAUCUUAGACAAUGGGGGCAACCCUGAUCUAGCCAUGCCGCGUGAGUGAUGAAGGCCUUAGGGUUGUAAAGCUCUUUCAGCUGGGAAGAUAAUGACGGUACCAGCAGAAGAAGCCCCGGCUAACUCCGUG